rnacentral:rRNA from 1 species
UAAUAUGAAUUGCAGAUAUUCGUGAAUCAUCGAAUCUUUGAACGCACAUUGCGCCCUCUGGUAUUCCGGAGGGCAUGCCUGUUUGAGCGUCGUUU